CUGCUCCCGCGCGUCCAUUUUUGCCCGCAUCUGCACAGCCGCGAGCACGCGACGAGCCUGGCUCCCGAGGAACGGUCGUUUUUGGCGUAUGAGUAGAGCCUGGCUCCCGAAGGAAUCUUGCAUCGGUGGAGCCUGGCCCAAGUGACCAUCCAAGCAUCCAAACAUGGGCAGGCUGCAUCUGUGGAGACAGGCCCAACCAAAUACAGCCAUCCAAACACGCCCUUAUUCUCCACGCGUCUGCACUUCCUUGCGAUCCUCUCCACGUCUGGACGUCUGGUGCAUGGAUCCCUCGCCAUCAGCCUUAUCCCUCGGCUGAUUUUUUGUCUUCACAACAGAUUUUCUUUCCUCAGCCUCAUCCUCACGUCUCUCUCUGUUAGAUUUUUUUUAAGUCGUGUUUAUCUUCUACAGCCGCCGCCCCUGGAUUUCUACAAAUCCACCACCGAGCGUUCCACUCUCCUCCGGAGCUCCUCCAGCCAGCUCGCCCUCCCAGCUCCUGCCGCACUGAGCUCAUUGCACGCUCCUGUGCCCCUGCCGCGUCUAGCUCCAGCGCUCGGUGUCCCUCAGCCCAGCUGUGUCUACGUGCUGCUCGCUCCGAGCUCCCUGUGCGAUGGCGUCAGCCGCAGUUCACCGCGCUCGGCCUCCCGUCUUGCCGCGAGUCCCAGCUCGAAUCUCCAUGGCCGCAGGCCUCUGGUGCCGCGCGCGCGCCCUUGUCAGGGUCCUGCGCGUCCUGCGUCUUCUUCCCCAAGCUCGGCCGCCGUGCUCUCUGCGCGCGACUCUGCUCUUCUGGGUGCGCGCCUGGGUCCCUGCUGAGCUCGGCGUCUAUCUCUCUGUAGCUCUAGUUUUUCCCCAGCACGCUUUCCUCCCUGCUCGGCCAUGGGAGCCGCGCCGUCGACCCUGCCUGAAUCCCCUCGGCCACGUCUUCCUUCUUGCUACUUCGUCUAUAGCCGCUGUCCGCCGUCGAGUCUAGCUACCCAUCGCGAAGUCCCUGCUGUCAGCCUCCGCACAUGUCCUAAACUGUCAUAGCCAGUUUGCCUCCAUCUCGUGGUGGCGUUGCGCUGCCGUCGAGUCCUGAUAUCGAUCUGGUUGUCAUCGAAGUGAAGCUUAGUUUAAUGCUCGCCAAGGUUUCGAUCAAAGAUUUUAUUCGGAGACUGUCGACGUUCUCGCAAGUUUUAAAUCGGAUUUAAUGGACGGUACGUUAAUUAAUCGCGUGAUACGGAAGACGACCCAAGUCGACACCAAGCGUGGGCUAAUCCGCAGGAUGAAGCUAAUGGACCAACCUGAAGAUGGUUAAAUCAAGCAAGUGCUCGGUCGAGAGAUACUCGUCAAGUGGACAUCGCCUAACAAACACUAACCUUUGGUUACUCAGGCAAACCCCGGUGCAUUUGCCACCUCCCUUGAUAUUUUAAAAUCUUUCUCACUUGAUUGCUGCAUUAGGUAAUAGGAGUUGAUUGAUAAAACAAUUCCUGCAUUACCUUCCUUGAAUUUGAUUACCUUCCUUGAUCACCUGUUUUACAAAAGAUUUUUGAUGCUUAGCCUUUCUUUAGAAAAACAAAAUGUUUUGUUUUUACAAAAUAUGAUGUGGCAAAAGUGGGUGGGAUGUUUUCGAAAAUAAAACUUGAUGGUGGAUCUGUCAAAGGCCUUGAUGGGUUCAACAUCGGAAAAGAUGUACCUCUGCCAGGUACCAAACUUUGGGUUGAAAUGAUUAAGCUGAGACCGGACGGGUGACUUGCACGAGAAAGGAGUCUCGGUGUAGUGUCUCCGUCUGAGUCGAUUAAGGACCUUGUCGAUGUAGGCCUGCUGACCGAGGACCCUUUAACUGAUCACAUGCCUCGUCAUGGGUAAGCCUUGCCUCGGGCAGGCUAAGGCCAGAAUAAGAUAACACGAAAUGGGCGUGGAGCGGUGGCGAGAGUAGCGUGUACCCUCCGUGGCAAGAGGCUGGACGGUGGUGUAUCUGUGCUCUCGGUUUGCGUGAACCUGAUCUGGUCUUAAGAACCCCGGUGGCGGGUUGACAUAUGCAAGGGUUAAGUGCUACAUAUGUCGUGUGAUUGGAGAUCCUCAGCUGAGUAUAAUCGAUUCGGAUCGCCGUACCUCCGCGGUUAUGGAGACUUGGCCACUGACUUACACGUAGCAUUCCACUAAAGAUGAUGGGUUUUUGUUAAGAAAUUGGCUAGUGCAGGACCAGUGAUUGAACUAGGGUAGAAAGAACUCUAGUUGCAGGUAAUUGUACGUAACUUGACAAAUAAAACUGGAUUUUAAGGAUCCACUUUAGUAAGCAUUUCUGCAAAACAGAGUCUUUGAUUAUUGAAAAGCCUUACCUUGACUCCCAUAUAACCAACAUACCCUUGAGAGUCUUUUCUUUAGUCGGGUAAGACUUGCUGAGUAAUUCCAUACUCAGGGUUUAUUUCCCUGUUGUUUUUCAGGUCUAACCUUGUGCUGUUGUGAUGGUGUUAAGUGCCGGUGGGCUCGGCCUUCUUAUAAGUCUAAGUAACCCUUCUAUACUUCUUAUUGAGGAUGGUCAUUUGAGCUAGCAUAUAUUUCAAACUUAUACUUUUGUAACCACUCCGAUAAAAUAAUGUAAAAUUUUUGUAACUUGUAAAAUUUGGUAGUAAGAAUUCCGCUGCAAAAAGGUUGGUGUA